rnacentral:rRNA from 1 species
UGGCCUUGACAUAGACAGAAUUUAGUAGAGAUAUAAAAGUGCCAGUUUACUGGAGCUGUUAUACAGGUGCUGCACGGCUGUCGUCAGCUCGUGUCGUGAGAUGUUGGGUUAAGUCCCGCAACGAGCGCAACCCACGUCAUUAGUUACUAACGGUUCGGCCGAGGACUCUAAUGAGACUGCCUGGGUAACCAGGAGGAAGGUGAGGACGACGUCAAGUCAUCAUGGCCCUUACGGCCAGGGCUACACACGUGCUACAAUGGGGUAUACAAAGAGCCGCGAUACCGUGAGGUGGAGCAAAUCUCAUAAAAUAUCUCCCAGUUCGGAUUGAAGUCUGCAACUCGACUUCAUGAAGUUGGAAUCGCUAGUAAUCGUAGAUCAGCAAUGCUACGGUGAAUACGUUCCCGGGUCU